rnacentral:rRNA from 1 species
GGUUGCGAUCAUACCAGCACUAAUGCACCGGAUCCCAUCAGAACUCCGCAGUUAAGCGUGCUUGGGCGAGAGUAGUACUAGGAUGGGUGACCCAUGGGAAGUCCUCGUGUUGCAACCC